rnacentral:rRNA from 1 species
CCCUUAGAUGUUCUGGGCCGCACGCGUGCUACACUGAGUGGAUCAGCGGGUCAGGUUGCGCGAAAGUGUUUCCUAAUCUUGAAAUCCGCUCGUGAUGGGGAUUGACGGUUGCAAUUUUCCGUCAUGAACGAGGAAUACCUUGUAAGCGCGGGUCAUCAUCCCGCGCUGAAUACGUCCCUGCCCUUUGUACACACCGCCCGUCGCUCCUACCGAUUGAAUGGUCCGGUGAAGCGUUCGGACCGUGGCCUUUGGACGGUUCGCCGUCUGUUGGCUGCGGGAAGUUCGUUAAACCUUAUCAUUUAGAGGAAGGAGAAGUCGUAACA